rnacentral:rRNA from 1 species
CGGCCCCCUGGCACAACACUGACGCUCAGGUGCGAAAGCGUGGGGAGCAAACAGGUUUAGAUACCCUGGUAGUCCACGCCGUAAACGAUGUCUACUAGCUGUUCGUGACCUUGUGUCGUGAGUAGCGCAGCUAAUGCACCAAGUAGACCGCCUGGGGAGUACGGUCGCAAGAUUAAAACUCAAAUGAAUUGACGGGGGCCCGCACAAGCGGUGGAGCAUGUGGUUUAAUUCGACGCAACGCGAAGAACCUUACCUACUCUUGACAUCCAGAGAAGACUGCAGAGAUGCGGUUGUGCCUUCGGGAACUCUGAGACAGGUGCUGCAUGGCUGUCGUCAGCUCGUGUUGUGAAAUGUUGGGUUAAGUCCCGCAACGAGCGCAACCCUUAUCCUUAGUUGCCAGCACGUAAUGCUGGGAACUCUAGGGAGACUGCCGGUGAUAAACCGGAGGAAGGUGGGGACGACGUCAAGUCAUCAUGGCCCUUACGAGUAGGGCUACACACGUGCUACAAUGGUAUGUACAGAGGGAGGCAAGCUGGCGACAGUGAGCGGAUCUCUUAAAGCAUAUCGUAGUCCGGAUCGCAGUCUGCAACUCGACUGCGUGAAGUCGGAAUCGCUAGUAAUCGCAAAUCAGAAUGUUGCGGUGAAUACGUUCCCGGGCCUUGUACACACCGCCCGUCACACCAUGGGAGUGGGUUGCAAAAGAAGUAGGUAGCUUAACCUUCGGGAGGGCGCUUACCACUUUGUGAUUCAUGACUGGGGUGAAGUCGUAACAAGGUAACCAUAGAGUUUGAUCCUGGCGGACGG